rnacentral:rRNA from 1 species
CAGCCGCCGCGGGAAAACGUAGGGUGCAAGCGUUAAUCGGAAUUACUGGGCGUAAAGCGUGCGCAGGCGGUUAUAUAAGUCAGAUGUGAAAUCCCCGGGCUCAACCUGGGAACUGCAUUUGAGACUGUAUGGCUAGAGUGUGUCAGAGGGGGGUAGAAUUCCACGUGUAGCAGUGAAAUGCGUAGAUAUGUGGAGGAAUAUCGAUGGCGAAGGCAGCCCCCUGGGAUAACACUGACGCUCAUGCACGAAAGCGUGGGGAGCAAACAGGAUUAGAUACCCCCGUAGUCCCUGUCUCUUAUAC